UCAAAAAUAAAUUAAAAGAGUUUGAUCCUGGCUCAGAAUGAACGUUUAUAGUUGGCUUAACACAUGCAAAUUAAAUAAAUUUGUUUUAUUACAAAUCAAUAGUGAACGGGUGAGUAACAUAUAGAAAUUAGCCUCAAGAAAUUGUUUAAUUCAUGAAAAAAAUAUUUGUCUUGAGAAAAGUCUAUACAAGAUUAGAUUGUUGGUCAGUUAAAAGCUUACCAAGCCUAUGAUCUUUAGUUGGUCUUUGAGGAUGAACAACCACAUUGGAAUUGAGAACGGUCCAAACUUCAUUUGAAGGCAGCAGUGGGGAAUUUUGGGCAAUGAGCGAUAGCUUGACCCAGCUAAACUAUUUGAGUGACGAAGAUGUAUAAUUGUAAAACUCUUUACUAAACAAAAUACUGACUUGUUUAAGAAAAGUCCUGGCUAAUCCCGUGCCAGCAGCCGCGGUAAAACGGGAAGGGCAAACGUUAUUCGGAUUAAUUGGGCGUAAAGCAUAUGUAGGUGGUAAAUUAAGUUUCAAUUUAAAUUUUAAAGUUUAUUUUUAAAAAGAUUGUUAGACUAAUUUUCUAGAGUUCAGAAGAAGAUUAUGGAACUUUAAAUGUAACAGUAAAAUGUGUUGAUAUUUAAAAGAACCUCAAUGGCGAAAGCAGUAAUCUAGGCUGAUACUGACACUGAGAUAUCAAAGCGUGGGUAGCAAAAGGGAUUAGAUACCCCUGUAGUCCACGCCCUGAACGAUGAGUGUUAACUUUUGAAUUAAAGCAAAAGUAAAACUAACGUGUUUAGCACUCCGCCUGGGGACUACGAUCGCAAGAUUAAAACUCAAAGGAAUUGACGGGGACCUACACAAGCAGUGGAGCAUGUGGUUUAAAUCGAUAAUACGCGCGAAAUCUUACCAAUUUUUGAAUAACAUUAGUUACAGGUGUUGCAUGGCUGUCGUCAGUCCGUGCUGUGAAGCGUUUGGUUUAUUCCAAUAAACGGACGAAACUCUCAUAAGUUAUAAAACUUAAACCGUUAAGGACAUCUUAAAGGAAGGUGAGAACGACGUCAAGUCCUCAUGACCCUAAUAAAUUGGGCUACUUUCAUGUGCUACAAUAGUUUUUUCAAAAAGUAGCAAAAAUGUGAAUUUUAGCAAAACUAAAAACAAAACUAUAUUCGAAUUGUUUUCUGAAACUCGAAAGCAUGAAGUUGGAAUUGCUAGUAAUCGUAAAUAAGAAUGUUACGGUGAAUACGUUCUUAGGUCUUGUACACACCGCCCGUCACGCUAUGGGAAUUUAUUUUAUUUGAAGAUUACAAAGUAAUUUAUGGUAAAAUAAAAGACUGAAGUGAAGUCGUAACAAGGUAGCUGUAGGGGAACCUGCGGCUGGAAAAUUUAAAAUAUACUUCUACUAC
rnacentral:rRNA from 1 species